GUCGGGAAAACCAUGCAGGUGAGAAAAAACACAUCAGUUUGUUUAUUGCAGCACUAAUUACGAGAUGCACGAGUGUUGUUCCUGAUGACAUGAUGGAGAUAUUUCGGCCUGCUAGGGAAAAAACUCAGUAAACGUAGAUAUAUUGACAAAAUUUGUAGGUACUUGUAACGAUAUGUCACGAUGCUGCAUUGUCAGAUACAGUAUUUAUACAUGCAUGCUAAAAAGUAAAUCUCGUAGUAAUCAAUAUAGCAGAAGAAUAAUGAAGAGUACAUACUACAAAAACUGUGCAAUUUGUAGCAAGAUUAAUUUUUGUUUAACAGCUGUUUUUAUUACAUUUUAUUUCGUAUUAUUACUACCAAAUACUGCUACCGUUUGUUAAUGUUAUGCACAUGGUUAUCUUGUACUUGCAAGUAAAUGUAACAUUUAAAAAAUAAAUAAUGAAAAAAAUAAGUCAUUUAGGCUAUUUGAUAAUAACAUGCUAAAUGAACAUGUUUUGCUUUUUAAUUCUCCUUCACUCAGUCUUUGUAUAAUGUAUAUUUUUAGACGAGCUGAUCGCCAACCAGGAGAUCAGAAUGAUAGCAUCUGCUCCUGCCACUUUAAGGAUGGUAAGAAGGAGGGGGACCCUGCAUAUUUUGCAUGGAAUGAAGGAAAGGCCAUGGAUUUCUCUGAUCCUAAAUGUACAAAAAGGAGGAAAAAACUCAAAAGUGAGGAGUCCCUGUCAUCUUCACAGAUGGACCAGUUGCAGAUUCCACAAGCACCAAAAUGUCAAUAUCAAGAAAAAUUGAUAUCAGAGCACAACUACUCAGCAUCCUGCACAUUUAACUGUACUCAAGAAAUGCAGCGCCUCUCAACAGAAAUACAACUGGAAAAGGAAUUGCUUGCCCUAAAAAUAGAGUCUAUAUAGUAAAAGGAAGCCAAUAUCAAUCCACGAUAUUAAAUACAACGAAGUGAAGGUACAUUUAAAGGAAUUCCAAUUGUGAUUUCCUAUUUCCUAACAAUUUCAGUUACUGUAAUAAAAACUUGUUGCCAUUGAGGGAUGAACAUCUUAGAUUGACUGUUAUGUUAACAUAUUUUGUUAUUAUUUGGGAGUGUUAGGUCUCUGAUCAGCAGGGGCAUUUUCUCUAUAUAAGAAGAAAAUGGAGACUCCCUACCCACCCGAUGUAUUUUGUCGGACAGUUUUCUGUACAUUGCAGUCACCAAUAUAUCCAAAUAUCAUCACCGGCCCAGACGUCAUUCACUCCUUUGAAUUGUGCUGGUAGCAGUAAGGUGUCAUCAUUUGAGAUGGUCACAGUAUCCAAUACACUGAAGUCACAGGACUCAAAUUUCAUACAUGUUCACAGGGUCUCUGCCAAAAUCUUUUGAGGAUUUUUCCUCUGCUAGAGCAUCCAUGGAUGCAAUUGAAACAACCCAGGACAUCCCAACACAUAUGGAUAAUCAGGCCAUGGCCUACAGUAUGUACAAAAGUUGCCAUACUUUUAAAGCAGUAACUUGCGUGCCUCCAAAUGGUGCACUUACAUUUUGCUCCAUGCUGUACCCAGGUUCUACUUCUGAUGUAGCUAUUGUACGUCACAGCCAAGUUUUACGAAAGUUCAAAGCUGGAGACCUUAUUUUGGUGGUCAAAGGUUUCACCAUUCAUGACCAGUUGCCCCAGGGUGUCUGCUUAAUUAUAAAAGCUCUUUUAUCGUCACGAGGCCAGUUUACCAUACAAGAAGCAGCACUGUGUUACAAGAUUGCUAAAGCACUUAUUCAUGUGGAAAGAGCCAACGAGAGGAUAAAGAAUUACGAGAUUCUCCGUUACAUACCAUCUACUUAAAGACCAUUCUCAACAAAAAUAUUUCAACUCUGUUCUUGUCUUGUAAACUUGCAAGCUCCACUUUUGAAAGAAAUUACUUAAAGAUACAUGUACUUAUUAUAAAUUUGCAUUGGCGUGUGACAGUAUACACUAAACAGUGAAGAUAUUCAUACCAAAGUGCAAGGGAUAAGCAAAUUUUGAUUUGUUAUCAAUGUCAAUGGUUAUAUUUGUUAAUUUUGUAGUAUGUUGUAAUACAUGUACUUCAGAAAAUGAAAAUCCCUUUUGUUAGCAUGGAUUUAUUACAAGAAUGUUUGGCAAUUCCAUUCUUCAUUUGACAAUAUAAUUUGGAAGAGGGUUUACUUAUAAUUUUAAAUCUCUAGUUUAAAGUAUAUUUACCUUUAAAGCACAACUCAACAAAUUCAUGUUUUCAACAAUUUAUCUAUUAAGAAAGACAAAAAUGUUACAUUUUCACUUUGAGAAUAACAUCUUUAAUUC